CCUACGGGGGGCAGCAGUGGGGAAUUUUGGACAAUGGGCGCAAGCCUGAUCCAGCCAUGCCGCGUGCGGGAAGAAGGCCUUCGGGUUGUAAACCGCUUUUGUCAGGGAAGAAACGCUCUGGGCUAAUACCUCGGAGUAAUGACGGUACCUGAAGAAUAAGCACCGGCUAACUACGUGCCAGCAGCCGCGGUAAUACGUAGGGUGCAAGCGUUAAUCGGAAUUACUGGGCGUAAAGCGUGCGCAGGCGGCUUUGCAAGACAGAUGUGAAAUCCCCGGGCUCAACCUGGGAACUGCAUUUGUGACUGCAUGGCUGGAGUGCGGCAGAGGGGGAUGGAAUUCCGCGUGUAGCAGUGAAAUGCGUAGAUAUGCGGAGGAACACCGAUGGCGAAGGCAAUCCCCUGGGCCUGCACUGACGCUCAUGCACGAAAGCGUGGGGAGCA
rnacentral:rRNA from 1 species